rnacentral:rRNA from 1 species
AAGUUGGGCACUCUAGAGGGGACUGCCGGUGUCAAACCGGAGGAAGUGGGGAUGACGUCAAGUCCUCAUGGCCUUUAUGACCAGGGCUACACACGUACUACAAUGGCCGGCACAAAGGGCAGCAAGCCUGCGAAGGUAAGCUAAUCCCGAAAAACCGGUCUCAGUCCGGAUCGCAGUCUGCAACUCGACUGCGUGAAGUUGGAAUCGCUAGUAAUCGUGGAUCAGCAUGCCACGGUGAAUACGUUCCCGGGCCUU